UCUUGCAGAUUCCUACUCCAAAAACUAACUUGUUUGAGAUAUGAUAAAAAUGAUAAAUUUAUCUGUUCCUAAGUGUAUUUGAUCCUAAAUUUUAUCUCUGAAGAAGAAGAAGAAGUGAACGAAUGCUUAGUGUUGAGAACACGGUGAUAGAGAGUUACCUAUUCCAGCGACUGCACCAACCGGCCGCAGCAGUUCCCAGGAUGGCGUCCUAUGGGUUCCGACGAGGAACACCAACAGCACCGAGACAAAGCAGGUGAGUAGGAGCACCCAUGGCUUCAGAAUACGGGAGCUGUGCCUCUUCGGCU
rnacentral:lncRNA from 1 species